CUUCUAUUGUUUAUGUGCUACUUAAAAUACUAAAUAAUUUGAGUUACAAUUUGACUAGUUUAAAAGGUCUCUCAUUUGUGUUUUUAUGUUGAUCUGAAAGCUCCAAAUCAAUUUGCAUUUGGGUCCCUGUUAAGUUUCUAUUCUUUAGCUUUAAUAAUUUUUAAUCCUCCAAAUCUAGAAAUUUUAGUUUUGUCAUUAUCUUUAACACCGGUUUCUUUCUUUCCUUCUGGUUGGAAAUAGCAACCUUUUGAGUUUUAAAUAUGGAAGACCACUAGGAUGAUAUAUUCUUAACAAUGUAUUUUUCCUUUUUAUAUGGCUUGUUCUUUCAUUUUAGUCUAUCUUUUACCCUUUUCAAUUCCCGGUUGCAUAGAUUGCUUCAGUGUGGUAGCUGGCAUAUUUAAAAUGGACAGCAUAAUGACUAGGAAGUUUGAUUGUUUUUUAUCAGAGCAGUACAAACAUGCAGGAAAGGGGGCUAUUCCUUAGUGUGGAAUAAGCUGCUUCCUGUAAUUGUUAGCCUUGUUAUAAACUUAAUUUGACUUAAGAAAAGUAUUAGUUUCUUAAGUGCAUCUCAUUUUUUACUUGUUGGAUAGUUUAAUUGUGAAUUUUGUCACGUUGUGUUUUACCCCUUCGCGGCCUGUCAUUGUCUAAAACAAAUUAAUCAUGAUGUCUGUGGUUAGGAAUUACAUUUUCUUUUGUCUAUAAUGCUUGACAAAAAUUCAUAUGAAUUUCUAAGUUUUAGUUUAGUGAUUAGUGAAGUUAAGAUAUUUUACUUAUGAGUGGGCAUACUUUGUGAUAAAUACCAAUUUUGAAUGAGCCUCUUGGGCAAUUUUGUUUUAAGAUACUUUUUGAAUAAUACGUUUCAAAAUAUUUUGUCUGUCAGUUGGAGAGUUUUUAUUUGGCUAGUUGCACGUUUGGGAGUUAAGUAUUGGUUGGAUUUCCCUACUUUAUUAAAACGUCAGUGCUUUAGAAGAAGUAUUUAUUCCCAUGCCAAGUUAAAGUUAACCUUUAGUCUGUAUCCCAAUUAUAGACACUCUUUAUGUUUUAUUGUUUAGUUUUGUGUGGAGUUGUCAGUCUUUUUAUCCCAAGUAUCUUCAACAUGGUUGUUUUUUGAAAUUGAGAACAUAUUUUAGGUUGGU
rnacentral:lncRNA from 1 species